GCGCUGUUAGUUUAAUGGUAAAACGCAGGGGAAUAAUACUGUCUUGCAAAAGACAGUAACAGCAGUUUUCCUCCAAUCGGGUUUCUGAAAAGCAGGUUCGAUUCCUGCACAGCGCA
rnacentral:tRNA from 1 species